rnacentral:rRNA from 1 species
GACGAACGCUGGCGGCGUGCUUAACACAUGCAAGUCGAACGGAAAGGCCCUUCGGGGUACUCGAGUGGCGAACGGGUGAGUAACACGUGGGUGAUCUGCCCUGCACUUUGGGAUAAGCCUGGGAAACUGGGUCUAAUACCGAAUAGGACCACGCGCUUCAUGGUGUGUGGUGGAAAGCUUUUGCGGUGUGGGAUGGGCCCGCGGCCUAUCAGCUUGUUGGUGGGGUAAUGGCCUACCAAGGCGACGACGGGUAGCCGGCCUGAGAGGGUGACCGGCCACACUGGGACUGAGAUACGGCCCAGACUCCUACGGGAGGCAGCAGUGGGGAAUAUGGCACAAUGGGCGCAAGCCGGAUGCAGCGACGCCGCGUGAGGGAUGACGGCCUUCGGGUUGUAAACCUCUUUCACCAGGGACGAAGCGUAAGUGACGGUACCUGGAGAAGAAGCACCGGCCAACUACGG